UUUCGCAAGGCACUGUAUAUGAGAUAGUGUAAAACAAUUAAAGAAAACCCUCAAUGUAGCCUAUAUAAAUGGCAUAAUAAUGAAUGGAUUUUUUAUAGGUAUUGCUUCUCUUUAUUCAACCCACCUGCCCUUCAGCCACACAAUAUUUAAUUAACCUAAACCCGUCCGCCCCGCAGAUAUAACCGCAGGGACUGUGGGUUAUAGGUCAACCCGCGCAUCACUUCCCGGGGACCCCAUCCCAAAGUCUUUGUGGGAGAUGAGGCCUUUCCUCUCCGGAGAAACCUCAUGCGGCACUUCCCUGGAGCAAUCAUCCCCAGGAGAAACACGGUCUUCAACUACCGCCUCGCCCGAACCAGGCUGACUAUGGAGUGCACCUUCGGCAUUCUUGCGUCCCACUGGCAGAUGUUCCGGUUAUAUCAGCUGUGUCAGUGAACCCCUCCCACUUCUGAACUGCCUGAAACAGAUGCACAUCUUUAUCAGAGGUAUUGUCUGUGAGAGAGGAUGCCAAUCCCUAGUCCCGUCAUCGUCACCUCAUCCGCUCAAAGACAACCCAACUGGGGGCCCAAGGCUGGUUAGGAGACACCGGUAGAGAUACUAUUAUGUAACUGUGAUGACCUGAGAGAAUACGUAGUUUAGUUGCACUGUGAUUCAUGAAUCAUAAGCUUUCUUUCCUCUCACACCUCUCCCUCCACCUCCUCUUUCUUCCCUGCUCCUCUGUUCUCAUCUCUUUCCCUUUCUGUCUUUGACCCCCUCUCACACCUCUCCCCCCACCUCCUCU